ACGGGUGCGUAACGCGUGGGAAUCUACCCUUGGGUUCGGAAUAACAGUUGGAAACGACUGCUAAUACCGGAUGAUGACGUAAGUCCAAAGAUUUAUCGCCCAGGGAUGAGCCCGCGUAGGAUUAGCUAGUUGGUGGGGUAAAGGCCUACCAAGGCUACGAUCCUUAGCUGGUCUGAGAGGAUGAUCAGCCACACUGGGACUGAGACACGGCCCAGACUCCUACGGGAGGCAGCAGUAGGGAAUAUUGGACAAUGGGCGAAAGCCUGAUCCAGCAAUGCCGCGUGAGCGAUGAAGGCCUUAGGGUUGUAAAGCUCUUUUACCCGGGAUGAUAAUGACAGUACCGGGAGAAUAAGCCCCGGCUAACUCCGUGCCAGCAGCCGCGGUAAUACGGAGGGGGCUAGCGUUGUUCGGAAUUACUGGGCGUAAAGCGCACGUAGGCGGUUAUUUAAGUCAGAGGUGAAAGCCCGGAGCUCAACUCCGGAACUGCCUUUGAGACUGGAUAACUAGAAUCUUGGAGAGGCGAGUGGAAUUCCGAGUGUAGAGGUGAAAUUCGUAGA
rnacentral:rRNA from 1 species